rnacentral:rRNA from 1 species
GACGAACGCUGGCGGCGUGCCUAAUACAUGCAAGUAGAACGCUGAAGAGAGGAGCUUGCUCUUCUUGGAUGAGUCGCGAACGGGUGAGUAACGCGUAGGUAACCUGCCUGGUAGCGGGGGAUAACUAUUGGAAACGAUAGCUAAUACCGCAUGAUAUUAAUUGUCGCAUGAUAAUAAAUUGAAAGAUGCAAUUGCAUCACUACCAGAUGGACCUGCGUUGUAUUAGCUAGUUGGUGAGGUAACGGCUCACCAAGGCGACGAUACAUAGCCGACCUGAGAGGGUGAUCGGCCACACUGGGACUGAGACACGGCCCAGACUCCUACGGGAGGCAGCAGUAGGGAAUCUUCGGCAAUGGGGGGAACCCUGACCGAGCAACGCCGCGUGAGUGAAGAAGGUUUUCGGAUCGUAAAGCUCUGUCGUAAGAGAAGAACGGGUGUGAGAGUGGAAAGUUCACACUGUGACG